CCUACGGGUGGCAGCAGUGGGGAAUAUUGGACAAUGGGGGCAACCCUGAUCCAGCCAUGCCGCGUGUGUGAAGAAGGCCCUCGGGUUGUAAAGCACUUUCAGUGAGGAAGAACGCCUGGUGGUUAAUACCCAUCAGGAAAGACAUCACUCACAGAAGAAGCACCGGCUAACUCCGUGCCAGCAGCCGCGGUAAUACGGAGGGUGCGAGCGUUAAUCGGAAUUACUGGGCGUAAAGCGCGCGUAGGUGGCUUGAUAAGCCGGUUGUGAAAGCCCCGGGCUCAACCUGGGAACGGCAUCCGGAACUGUCAAGCUAGAGUGCAGGAGAGGAAGGUAGAAUUCCCGGUGUAGCGGCGAAAUGCGUAGAGAUCGGGAGGAAUACCAGUGGCGAAGGCGGCCUUCUGGACUGACACUGACACUGAGGUGCGAAAGCGUGGGUAGCAAACAGGAUUAGAUACCCCUGUAGUC
rnacentral:rRNA from 1 species